rnacentral:rRNA from 1 species
CGCCUAACACAUGCAAGUCGAACGAAGUAGCAAUACUUAGUGGCGAACGGGUGAGUAUAAUGUGGGUAUCUGCCUUUUGGUUCGGAAUAACACGGGGAAACUUGUGCUAAUACCGGAUAAGCCUUUACAGGGAAAGUUUUAACGCCAAAAGAUGAGCCCGCACUUGAUUAGCUAGUUGGUAAGGUAAUAGCUUACCAAGGCUACGAUCAAUAGCUGAUCUGAGAGGAUGAUCAGCCACAUUGGGACUGAGACACGGCCCAAACUCCUACGGGAGGCAGCAGUGGGGAAUCUUGCACAAUGGGGGAAACCCUGAUGCAGCGAUGCCGCGUGAGUGAAGAAGGCCUUUGGGUUGUAAAGCUCUUUCGUCGGGGAAGAAAAUGACUGUACCCGAAUAAGAAGGUCCGGCUAACUUCGUGCCAGCAGCCGCGGUAAUACGAAGGGACCUAGCGUAGUUCGGAAUUACUGGGCUUAAAGAGCUCGUAGGUGGUUAGAAAAGUUGGUGGUGAAAUCCCAAGGCUUAACCUUGGAACUGCCAUCAAAACUUUUUGACUAGAGUGUGAUAGAGGAAAGUGGAAUUUCUAGUGUAGAGGUGAAAUUCGUAGAUAUUAGAAAGAACACCAAUUGCGAAGGCAACUUUCUGGAUCAUUACUGACACUGAGGAGCGAAAGCAUGGGUAGCGAAGAGGAUUAGAUACCCUCGUAGUCCAUGCUGUAAACGAUGUGUGCUAGACGUUGGAAAUUUUAUUUUCAGUGUCGCAGCAAAAGCGUUAAGCACACCGCCUGGGGAGUACGACC